rnacentral:rRNA from 1 species
UACGUAGGGUGCGAGCGUUAAUCGGAAUUACUGGGCGUAAAGCGUGCGCAGGCGGUUUUGUAAGCCAGAUGUGAAAGCCCCGGGCUCAACCUGGGAAUGGCAUUUGGGACUGCAAGGCUUGAGUGCGGCAGAGGAGACUGGAAUUCCUGGUGUAGCAGUGAAAUGCGUAGAUAUCAGGAGGAACACCGGUGGCGAAGGCGACAUCCUGGACCGGUAUUGACGCUGAGGCGCGAAAGCCAGGGGAGCAAACGGG